AGAGUUUGAUCCUGGCUCAGAUUGAACGCUGGCGGCAGGCUUAACACAUGCAAGUCGAGCGGAGUGAUUGUGCUUGCACAAUCACUUAGCGGCGGACGGGUGAGUAAUGCUUAGGAAUCUGCCAUUUAGUGGGGGACAACAUUCCGAAAGGAAUGCUAAUACCGCAUACGUCCUACGGGAGAAAGCAGGGGAUCUUCGGACCUUGCGCUAAAUGAUGAGCCUAAGUCGGAUUAGCUAGUUGGUGGGGUAAAGGCCUACCAAGGCGACGAUCUGUAGCGGGUCUGAGAGGAUGAUCCGCCACACUGGGACUGAGACACGGCCCAGACUCCUACGGGAGGCAGCAGUGGGGAAUAUUGGACAAUGGGCGGAAGCCUGAUCCAGCCAUGCCGCGUGUGUGAAGAAGGCCUUUUGGUUGUAAAGCACUUUAAGCGAGGAGGAGGCUACCUAGAUUAAUACUCUAGGAUAGUGGACGUUACUCGCAGAAUAAGCACCGGCUAACUCUGUGCCAGCAGCCGCGGUAAUACAGANGGUGCGAGCGUUAAUCGGAUUUACUGGGCGUAAAGCGUGCGUAGGCGGCUGAUUAAGUCGGAUGUGAAUCCCUGAG
rnacentral:rRNA from 1 species